GACGAACGCUGGCGGCGUGCUUAACACAUGCAAGUCGAGCGGAAAGGCCCUGCUUUUGUGGGGUGCUCGAGUGGCGAACGGGUGAGUAACACGUGAGUAACCUGCCCUUGACUUUGGGAUAACUUCACGAAACUCGGGCUAAUACCGGAUAGGAGCUCCUGCUGCAUGGUGGGGGUUGGAAAGUUUCGGCGGUUGGGGAUGGACUCGGUGCUUAUCAGCUUGUUGGUGGGGUAGUGGCUUACCAAGGUUUUGAGGGGUAGCCGGCCUGAGAGGGUGAACGGCCACAAUGGGACUGAGAGACGGCACAGACUCCAACCGGAGGCAGCAGGGGGGAAUAUUGCACAAUGGGCGGAAGCCUGAGGUAGCAGCGCCGCGUGCGGGAUGACGGCCUUUGGGUUGUAAACAGCUGUCGCCUGUGACGAAGCGUGAGUGACGGUAAUGGGUAAAGAAGCACCGGCUAACUACGUG
rnacentral:rRNA from 1 species